UCUUAAAAAUACCCACCCCCCACCUCCCUAGCUCAACCCAACUCCCGAUCCCAAUUCUCGCGGAGCAAACGAAAGAAAAACUCGCGAUCCCCAUUAUCUCAAGACACCUUAACCCUAGCAGUAGUGCACCGCAGCGGAAAGCACCGCCGUCCAUGGAAUAGCCAUCGACCUUCCUCCAUGGCUCCCCUUGCAUCGGCCCUCUCUCUCAUGUCUACACAGCUCAGAUCUGGCCCCUCCUCUAAUCAUGUUCCCCUGUCUCUCUCAGAUCGAUCCCUGGUCAACUUACGGCUGCACCUCCGCAGUCACGCACGAAACAGGCAAGCGCCGCCCCAGAGUGGAGGAUGGAGCUUUCAGCUGUCGGUCUACCGUGCGCGCAUCCACUCCAAGGCGGGCCACAUCCCUCAAGGUCUAGGUCGACGGGGCAUGGUGAACUGAAUUUCCGCUGCAUCUCAACAUCAUGCGCUGCACCCUACAGCCGCAGGUGGAUCUACCUUUCUGAAAGUGCAACAAGUUGAACAUUAAAUUGUUUAUCUUCAGACGAUGCGGAAAUUGAGCCGACAAGAUAAAAUUCCAUACCUUGCCCAUCAAGAUGGCUCGUCGAAGAUUCUGCUCUCAACCUAGAUUAAGACCCAAAACAUCAGCAAGGACUGCUAUAUUCGAAGGAAGAACACUAGAAGGAAUGUAUAUAGGAUUUAGUUACACUCUAAUAUUUUGAAACAAGAUUGUAAGCUGUGUACUCAAAAGAAAAACAUUUCAUGUAUGGAAUGCGGU